GAUGAACGCUGGCGGCGUGCCUAAUACAUGCAAGUCGAGCGAACGGACGAGAAGCUUGCUUCUCUGAUGUUAGCGGCGGACGGGUGAGUAACACGUGGAUAACCUACCUAUAAGACUGGGAUAACUUCGGGAAACCGGAACUAAUACCGGAUGAUAUUUUGAACCGCAUGGUUCAAAAGUGAAAGACGGUCUUGCUGUCACUUAUAGAUGGAUCCGCGCUGCAUUAGCUAGUUGGUAAGGUAACGGCUUACCAAGGCAACGAUGCAUAGCCGACCUGAGAGGGUGAUCGGCCACACUGGAACUGAGACACGGUCCAGACUCCUACGGGAGGCAGCAGUAGGGAAUCUUACGCAAUGGGCGAAAGCCUGACGGAGCAACGCCGCGUGAGUGAUGAAGGUCUUCGGAUCGUAAAACUCUGUUAUUAGGGAAGAACAUAUGUGUAAGUAACUGUGCACAUCUUGACGGUACCUAAUCAGAAAGCCACGGCUAACUACGUG
rnacentral:rRNA from 1 species